CGCACGAAGGGGCCAGAAAUUCUGAUACGCCCUAUAGUGACGAGGAAGACAGAGGUGACUUGUUGAUUCAUUCUCGCAAAGCCACUUACAGUUUCGGACUUCAUCCAGUGCGGACGAACACAUCUCACUUGACUUCAAAAUGGGUCGUGCCACACUGUUGGUACUCGCGUCUAUUUGCCUCGUGCUGGUGGCUCACGGCCAAGAAGUGACCCAAUGUGAUGAUGUGAAGUGUCCGUGGAUGGAGGAACAAAUUUGCCCUGGGGAAUUUAUUCCACAAGAACCCAGCAUCGGCAGAUGUUGUUCGACCUGCGUGGUGACUGUUGAGGGAGGUCAAUCCUGUACGUCAGCACAUCCUGGUUUCCAAAUCGACUGCAGAAAUCCUUACAACUGUCAAGAUGGCGUCUGCUCCGAGUGACAUCGCGAUGUCUAUAACAGGGGCAGUAACAUCAUGAUGGAUCUAGGUUCAGAUUGACAUAAUGCAUAGUGAAAGAGUUUCCAUCUUCAGAAUCUUCAACAUUCAACUGAUACCAAUCUUUGUUGUCCUUACGUAUAACCAAACAAAUUGAAGUUCAUUAUUAAAUUACAUUUAAAGCAAA